rnacentral:rRNA from 1 species
AUUGAACGCCGGCGGCAGGCCUAACACAUGCAAGUCGAGCGGAUGAGAAGAGCUUGCUCUUCGAUUCAGCGGCGGACGGGUGAGUAAUGCCUAGGAAUCUGCCUGGUAGUGGGGGACAACGUUUCGAAAGGAACGCUAAUACCGCAUACGUUCUACGGGAGAAAGCAGGGGACCUUCGGGCCUUGCGCUAUCAGAUGAGCCUAGGUCGGAUUAGCUAGUUGGUGAGGUAAUGGCUCACCAAGGCGACGAUCCGUAACUGGUCUGAGAGGAUGAUCAGUCACACUGGAACUGAGACACGGUCCAGACUCCUACGGGAGGCAGCAGUGGGGAAUAUUGGACAAUGGGCGAAAGCCUGAUCCAGCCAUGCCGCGUGUGUGAAGAAGGUCUUCGGAUUGUAAAGCACUUUAAGUUGGGAGGAAGGGCAGUAAGUUAAUACCUUGCUGUUUUGACGUUACCGACAGAAUAAGCACCGGCUAACUCUGUGCCAGCCGCCGCAGUAAUAC